rnacentral:rRNA from 1 species
GACGAACGCUGGCGGCGUGCUUAACACAUGCAAGUCGAACGGUGAUGCUCCAGCUUGCUGGAGUGGAUCAGUGGCGAACGGGUGAGUAACACGUGAGCAACCUGCCCCAGACUCUGGAAUAAGCGCUGGAAACGGCGUCUAAUACUGGAUACGAAACUGGCCCGCAUGGGCAUGGUUUGGAAAGUUUUUCGGUUUGGGAUGGGCUCGCGGCCUAUCAGCUUGUUGGUGAGGUAAUGGCUCACCAAGGCGACGACGGGUAGCCGGCCUGAGAGGGCGACCGGCCACACUGGGACUGAGACACGGCCCAGACUCCUACGGGAGGCAGCCGUGGGGAAUAUUGCACAAUGGGCGAAAGCCUGAUGCAGCGACGCCGCGUGAGGGAUGACGGCCUUCGGGUUGUAAACCUCUUUCAGCAGGGAAGAAGCGAAAGUGACGGUACCUGCAGAAGAAGCACCGGCUAACUACGUG